rnacentral:lncRNA from 1 species
AUGCAGGGGACCAAGAGUGCCCAGCCCAAGAAAUUAAUUCUCGCAACUACCCUUCUCUCGAACUCUCCACAUUGCUCCCGUUCUCCUUAUCCCGGUUGCGAGCUCGCCGAGAAGCACUCUGCCUCAGCUGCCGCUCCGGCUCCCCUCCUCCCUCCACCGGCGGCUGGCGCCGGCUCUCCUCCCUCCGCCGCCGGCGCCGGUUCUCUUCCCUCCGCCGCCGGCGCCGGCUCUGCUUCUCCGGCAGCCGCGGUUGCCAGCUCGCGCGAGUUCUUGAACCCCAUUGCCCACGAGGUGGUGCUCAAGAUCACCAGCUUCGGUGGCUGCAGCGGCCUCGUGGCGGCGGCGACGACGGGGGGCGGCGUACUCGCGUCGGCGGCGGAGGGAGGAGGCAGCGCCGGCCGCCGGUGGGGUUCAGUUUCUGCUCAGGGGUGGCAACAGCUUCAGUCCGCCGCCAUGCGGAGGCAGGGAGGGGUCGGCGCGGCCAGGGGCGUGGCUGUGGCGGCAGCGGAUCUCGGUGCGCGUGGCGGUGGAGCUCGGCGUCGACCUCGCCAAGGCGGCGACUGGGAGGAGGGUGCGCUCCUCCUCAACGUUCUUGGCGGCGGCUCAAGAACGGGCGGCGUGGUCGACGCCGCCGUCUCGCCUCGGCAUUCUAUUUGGGUUCUUGAGAUGGGCGGUAGCUGCUCCGACGCCAUUCCAAUUGAUGCCGAGGCCGCCAUGGAUUUUGUCCUCAUGGCGGCAAGGCCGAUGCCGGCGCGGGCAAAAGGACUCGGUGGCGGUAGGAUGAAUCGCAGGCGCGGGAAGGGAUUUUUUCGUGGGCGAAUCUGGAAUUUCUCCGAGUGCUGCGUGCACGAGGUCACGGGCGGCCAAGCAUCGACGCCCACAGCGCUCGCUCCUCGCGUUUUUCUGGCGGCGCGUGGAUUCGACCGAGCAAGGUUGCGUGUUGCUCUGCUUGGGGACGAGCAACCAAGUUUGGUCCUGGUUCCACGCGACACGUCGGACAAAAUCCUCCGUGUCGCCCCAUAGCACCGGUCCA